CAUGCAAGCCGAGCGGUAUUGUUUCUUCGGAAAUGAGAGAGCGGCGUACGGGUGCGGAACACGUGUGCAACCUGCCUUUAUCUGGGGGAUAGCCUUUCGAAAGGAAGAUUAAUACUCCAUAAUAUAUUGAACGGCAUCGUUUAAUAUUGAAAGCUCCGGCGGAUAGAGAUGGGCACGCGCAAGAUUAGCUAGUUGGUGAGGUAACGGCUCACCAAGGCGAUGAUCUUUAGGGGGCCUGAGAGGGUGAUCCCCCACACUGGUACUGAGACACGGACCAGACUCCUACGGGAGGCAGCAGUGAGGAAUGUUGGUCAAUGGGUGCAAGCCUGAACCAGCCAUCCCGCGUGAAGGACGACUGCCCUAUGGGUUGUAAACUUCUUUUGUAUAGGGAUAAACCUACCCUCGUGAGGGUAGCUGAAGGUACUAUACGAAUAAGCACCGGCUAACUCCGUGCCAGCAGCCGCGGUAAUACGGAGGGUGCAAGCGUUAUCCGGAUUUAUUGGGUUUAAAGGGUCCGUAGGCGGACUUAUAAGUCAGUGGUGAAAGCCUGUCGCUUAACGAUAGAACUGCCAUUGAUACUGUAAGUCUUGAGUAUAUUUGAGGUAG
rnacentral:rRNA from 1 species